rnacentral:rRNA from 1 species
AUUGAACGCUGGCGGCAGGCCUAACACAUGCAAGUCGAACGAGUGGCGGACGGGUGAGUAAUGUCUGGGAAACUGCCCGAUGGAGGGGGCUAACUACCGGAAACGGUAGCUAAUACCGCAUACCAUCGGAUGUGCCCAGAUGUGAUUAGCCAGUCGGUGGGGUAAUGGCUCACCUAGGCGACGAUCCCUAGCUGGUAUGAGAGGAUGACCAGCGACACUGGAACUGAGACACGGUCCAGACUCCAAGGGGAGGCAGAAGUGGGGAAUAUGGCACAAUGGGCGCAAGCCUGAUGCAGCCAUGCCGCGUGUAUGAAGAAGGCCUUCGGGUUGUAAAGUACUUUCAGCGAGGAGGCGUUACUCGCAGGAGAAGCACCGGCUAACUCCGUGCCAGCGGCCGCGGUAAUUC